ACAUUACAGAGCGGGGUCCCUGAGCUGCAGGAGGAGAGCCUGCAGGGCUCUUGGGUAGAAUUGCACUUUUGCAAUAAGGGAAACGGGAGCAAUGUUUCAGCCUCAGUUUCUAUUUAUAAUACUGACACAAAAAGAAUAUUGCUGGAUACAUAGCAUGGAUCUAGAUAGAGCAGCUCCAGGAGUUCUCACGGUGACAGCCCCCCUCACUCACAGACACCAUGUGAUAUUAAUAGGGCUUAGACACAAAGCACUGAAUUCCCAAAGCAUUGAAGAGAAAGACAGCUCUCAGUCUGAGUAAAACCGUAUUGAGAGAAGAAAAGAGGUUGAAAGAAUCUUAAAGACAAAUUCAGAUUACAUGUAACAUUGGUCAAAUUGACCAGAAAAUAUUCUUCCAAAGAAGUUCUUCUCUAAACACCAAAAGUGCACAGCUACUCUCAGCAUGAGAAAUACAAGUAUUAUGAGAAAGAGGGCUUAUUCUGAGCAGAAUUUCCAUCUCUGCUGCUCUCCCAUCUGCCGGCCGUUGGAUUGGGAAUCUAUACUGGAACACACCUGACAACCUCCACCAGCACUU
rnacentral:lncRNA from 1 species